GAACUGAAGAGUUUGAUCAUGGCUCAGAUUGAACGCUGGCGGCAGGCCUAACACAUGCAAGUCGAGCGGAUGAAGGGAGCUUGCUCCUGGAUUCAGCGGCGGACGGGUGAGUAAUGCCUAGGAAUCUGCCUGGUAGUGGGGGAUAACGUCCGGAAACGGGCGCUAAUACCGCAUACGUCCUGAGGGAGAAAGUGGGGGAUCUUCGGACCUCACGCUAUCAGAUGAGCCUAGGUCGGAUUAGCUAGUUGGUGGGGUAAAGGCCUACCAAGGCGACGAUCCGUAACUGGUCUGAGAGGAUGAUCAGUCACACUGGAACUGAGACACGGUCCAGACUCCUACGGGAGGCAGCAGUGGGGAAUAUUGGACAAUGGGCGAAAGCCUGAUCCAGCCAUGCCGCGUGUGUGAAGAAGGUCUUCGGAUUGUAAAGCACUUUAAGUUGGGAGGAAGGGCAGUAAGUUAAUACCUUGCUGUUUUGACGUUACCAACAGAAUAAGCACCGGCUAACUUCGUGCCAGCAGCCGCGGUAAUACGAAGGGUGCAAGCGUUAUCGGAAUUACUGGGCGUAAAGCGCGCGUAGGUGGUUCAGCAAGUUGGAUGUGAAAUCCCCGGGCUCAACCUGGGAACUGCAUCCAAAACUACUGAGCUAGAGUACGGUAGAGGGUGGUGGAAUUUCCUGUGUAGCGGUGAAAUGCGUAGAUAUAGGAAGGACACCAGUGGCGAAGGCGACCACCUGGACUGAUACUGACACUGAGGUGCGAAAGCGUGGGAGCAAACAGGAUUAGAUACCCUGGUAGUCCACGCCGUAAACGAUGUCGACUAGCGUUGGGAUCCUUGAGAUCUUUAGUGGCGCAGCUAACGCGAUAAGUCGACCGCCUGGGAGUACGGCCGCAAGGUUAAAACUCAAAUGAAUUGACGGGGGCCCGCACAAGCGGUGGAGCAUGUGGUUUAAUUCGAAGCAACGCGAAGAACCUUACCUGGCCUUGACAUGCUGAGAACUUUCCAGAGAUGGAUUGGUGCCUUCGGGAAACUCAGACACAGGUGCUGCAUGGCUGUCGUCAGCUCGUGUCGUGAGAUGUUGGGUUAAGUCCCGUAACGAGCGCAACCCUUGUCCUUAGUUACCAGCACUCGGGUGGGCACUCUAAGGAGACUGCCGGUGACAAACGGAGGAAGGUGGGGAUGACGUCAAGUCAUCAUGGCCCUUACGGCCCAGGGCUACACACGUGCUACAAUGGUCGGUACAAAGGGUUGCCAAGCCGCGAGGUGGAGCUAAUCCCAUAAAACCGAUCGUAGUCCGGAUCGCAGUCUGCAACUCGACUGCGUGAAGUCGGAAUCGCUAGUAAUCGUGAAUCAGAAUGUCACGGUGAAUACGUUCCCGGGCCUUGUACACACCGCCCGUCACACCAUGGGAGUGGGUUGCUCCAGAAGUAGCUAGUCUAACCGCAAGGGGGACGGUUACCACGGAGUGAUUCAUGACUGGGGUGAAGUCGUAACAAGGUAGCCGUAGGGGAACCUGCGGCUGGAUCACCUCCUUAAUCGAAGAUCCCGG
rnacentral:rRNA from 1 species